rnacentral:lncRNA from 1 species
AGCUUAUUUCUACGAGGCUGGUUUACUUGUGAUUUAGUCCGAUUCGUAAUGGCUGGUAACAAUAAUCGAAGCUGGCUUAUUGGCCAUUAGUACCUGACAGGAAAAGAUAGCUGUUAACUAGCAUCACUGUGAGACAGAGGGAAAGAGAGUUAUGCUAGGUACGCACGGCCAAGCUUAGCAAAGCAGUAUCUGUCGAGCAUGGGCCGACGAGUGUGAAGCUCGGAUCCGACGGGCGGACUUCAUUGCGCUGACAUCACUACUCGAUGAUUCUUCAUUUCUUUCGUUACCCCGAAAAAAUGGUCGCUAAUAUGAUCAUCAUUUCGUAUCCUGCAAUGAGGACGCAUAGUGAAUUACCGGAAUGUGCCCAGGACCUCUGGGUUCAUCGCACUCGUGUAAAAAUGCAGAGAGCGCUCACUUCUGCGGCUGAAAAAAUCGCCACAUCUGAAAAAUACCUAGCCUAUGAGUUUUUUGAUUUAUCAAGCUCGUGCGAUUACUUCAUUUUGGCUCAUCAAGGUACCGAUUAACAGAUAACUGCGGAGCCUAGUACGCGAUGCAUAAGGGGUGAUAAUCACUCCUCGAAGAAUUGCUCACAACCGUAAAAAAUCGACCGGAAUUGUCUUCAUUUAUGUUUCGGAACGAAACAUAUGCAGAUUCAACAAGCUCGAUCAACUCUUCGGCCAUCAUGUCGAUCGCACCAUAUAAUGUUAUAAUCAUCUUUACACAACCUACAUGUCAUCGAAUUGGAAGUAUUUACAAUUUACGAAUUACAACUGAUAGAAACGAGGUCUACUUAAUUUCUAAUUUUUUGAAAUUCUGCUAGCAGCAUAAUGCAAAAACACAGAGAUAGAGAGAAAGAAAUAAAAACACAGUUUUAUUAAAUCAUCCGAAGACACCACUUUUAUUGUCCUGGUUGAGUUUUUCACCUUACUAUCAUCGUCAUCAUCAGCUUUUUCGUUUUCGUUUCGUCGUCGUCGUCAAUAUGCAAUCGUAUUUCAUAUUUGUUUUCAGCAGCUUGCUGGUCGCAGCACCAUAUGUCUGUCUAGCUGUGUAUGUGGGUCUGUGUGAAGUGUUUACAUAUCUGCGCUCUAAAUGUCUAGAUCUAUAUUGCAUGUCUGUAUUCGCUACAGUGUUAUGUUGUAAAGAACAUAUUUCGCUUUCAUAUCCCUUCUUUCUUCUUGUUUUACUUUCCUUUCAUCCUGCCAUUGUGUGUAGUUAAUAUUUUUUCAUAGGCUCAUUACUGUGCUUUCACGGAGGUGGCCAACGAAAAUGAUUCGUACUUGAAGAUACUACCGCAAUUUUUAGUUAUUGUAAUUAUUCAUAUGGAGAGAUGUAUGUGCAUUACAGUCACAGCAUAGUCUUACUUGUAAAGUAGCCAUAAUUCGAGGGCAUUACGUGAACUGCAAUGAGAGAGAGAGAGAGAAAAAUUGGGGCAGCCAGAGUAACAUAAAAAUCAUCAUCAUCAUCAUUGUUGUUGUUGUCGUCCGGACUUACCAUUCGUGUCCACCCCCUGCGAAUGCAAAAGUGAAGCCUGCUUGUAUUGCCAUGAACAUACCAAAAACGCGCACGCGACCAGGUGAUUUUUACUAUACACGUUCGUUAUCGCAUAGAGACGUCCUAUAAUGCAGUAGUACAUAAUUCUAAUGAUAGAUGUAGCUAGAGGCGGGCGUAUAGUACAGCCUAGGGCCGAUCAUACUACAUUAUACUCAUACUUAGCUCCAUUCUAUCAAUUUCAGUGUCGUUGACAUCAGCGCUUUCUAAUUCGUCAUUUACUCCUUCUUUUCGCAAAGUACUUUUUAGUUAUCAAUUCGUAAUACAAUAGUAAUAAUAAAAAUGAGAGAUGUAACUGUGCUUCGUGCUGCCUGUAAGCAGUUACUAUCAUCCAUAAAAUGAUACCAGUAGUAAUAAUAGUAACAACGGUUAUGAUCCUUCACUGUUAUUUGUCCCCAUGUGUACAUUGUAUGUACUAUCCGCUAUUUUCAAUGUUUUUAUGCUAUGUCAUGUUUACGUAAUGCCUUGAAUGUCUGUUAAUGAAUAAUGUAUUAUUAUUAUUAUUAUUAUUAUCUUCUCUUGUCAAACAUUCUUACUAACCAACAUCGCUCAUUAUCAUUCAGUUUUCUCAGUCUACCAUCAGUACGUAUCCCUACACUUUACUCGAGGAAUUUAAUUAUCAUUUAGUUUACCGCAAAGUAGCGGCGGUGAUAACAGCAAUACAAAUUUGCCUCCUGACUUUUUUAUCUCAUUAAUUUCUGUUGCCGCCGCCGUUGAUGAUGAUGCUGUUGGUAAUUAAUAACCCUUCUUUUGCAUGUGCCCUCAUGUAUGGUACAAUGGUAACGUGUUUUUCUACUUAACUUAAAGACACUUGAUGUGGUUUACGUUCAAAAUCUUCUUCGGAAAGAUGUGCCCGUACACGCCAAACGACCCCCUCCCCAAAACAGAUCUCCCGAACUGUCUCAAAAGAGCUAGAACCCUCAAUUUUCGGGCUUUUCCCAAAGAUCAAAAUUUAAAUACGAAUUCGUACAUGAAUACAGUAUGUCGUACUGCGACGCAGCCGUCAAAAGCAUUCAUGCGUAACGGUAGUGAUGCUUUAAAACGGCGCGUAAAAUUCGAAAAAUUCAUUUUGCUUGUAAACAGGACGUAGGCACAUUCCCGCCGGAAGGGCCAGUUGUAUGAAACAACAAUGCGUAACUAAGCAAUAGGACCGGACCACUCGAAACAAUACGUGUUGUUUAUGGGAAUGAUCUAUGGGUGUAAGUCGACCCAUUGGUUUCCUUUCGCAGAUAAAUGGUCUCUUUCUGGUCUACGCCAUCUUUUUUCCAUCAUCUCUGUUCAAUGUUUCACCGUUCUCGGAAAACCACAGCAGUGUAUUAAUAAUAGUAUUAAAAUAAUAUAUGAAACGGUACAUAUUUUCUUUAUUUACAGAUGAUGUUGUGUGAUCUACCGGCCUAAAAUGUAGGAUAAUGGUAAUCGUAAAAUAACACUCAUUAAAACGUACAGGUAAUAGUAUCUUAUGCACAGGCAGAUCGGCCAAAGCUUUACUCACUUCUUUUGUGAUGUCCUAUGUGGUACCGUCAUUGAAUUAUCCGUACGGUCGUGGUCAACAAAAAUAAACAAAUGUUGUCGUUCCAUUUUGCUUAUUGAGAAGGCAACCGCACGGGCAAAGGCUCGCCGUUGGUGCCUUAGGCUCAAGCGGCAGCGACAAAUUAGGCUCAUCAAGUUGUCCUCGCUGCAUUUAUCCGAUAUUUGGCUAAUUCAGGUAUACGAUAUAUGUAUAAUAGAUGUAUUCAUUUAAGCUGAGCGGUUGGCUCAAUGCAUCAAUCCACUGCUCAGUAACCCACCCGAAACAAGAAGGCAAAACCUGCUUACUGCUAAGUAUAAUACUACGCCUCAUACAAAUAUAGCAUAAAAGUAAGAUUUUUCCAUAGUAUACUACUAUAAGAACUAUCAAUUGUUUUUUUUUGUUUGUUUUCAUUAAUAAUAAUGUAAUGAUGAAUGAGUUAACUGAUGUUAUUUUUGGGCACUUGACCCGUCAGCACCAGGUCGUCCAGUCUGUCCUCGUCUCAUCUACAGUCUAGCGACAUGUGUGCCUGUACUACACAUAUUCGAACUCGAAGAUCUACCUCCAAUCUACCCGUUUUUGUUCAACCCAUUUCGCUUCGGCCACAAUCAAUUCUUCAAAAAGUACUUAAACAAUUUGUUUGCGCAUAACAACGACUAGACAUCGAAGACACCAUCUGUGACGAGAUAUGUACGUGUUUAAUGUGUUUGUCGGAUUUAGCCGCCGUUUAGUUAUAAUAAUAAUAAUAAUAAUUAUGAGCUUAUAAUCAGUCCUUACGCUUUUCUUGUCAUCAUUAUUUUCGUGCAGAAGUUGCACCGGUUUGAUUUUAUUCACAGAAUCGAGUUAACUACAGGUGGCAAUCAUUUGUCGAGGUGUAUAUUAGCACACCGUCCACUAUUUCGAAAUAUGUCGUAUAUGUACACCGAUAGGGGUUGGCGAUUUAAUUGUCUGUAAUUUCGUCAUCCGCCACAGGUGACUAGACGUCAAGAUUGAAUUUGCUUUUUGAUGUUGUAUUUCACACCUAGAACACGCAGCAAAAAGUCUACAAUCGGUGAUUACAAGAAUUAUUGCCGCUUGGGAGACUUAGUCGACCUGUACGGGACGGAGAGCCUUUUUAAAUAGGAUUAUCGAUUAAUUACUUAAUAGUUUGUAUGCGGUCUUGAGAACCUCAAUGAAUGACGUCACAAAAAAGGUUGUUAUAUGUCCUUGUCGAAUGUUACCGUUCUGUUAUUAGUUUGCUCCAAAAUCCCUAUAUCAACUGAAACAAUGUACAUUUAAUAAGUGAUAUCUGAUGGGCAAAAGUGAUUAGAAGUCAACGCAUAAAAAUCACCCGCAAUAGGUCCUUAUCCAAGCAUCGUUUACUUCUUAAUUUAUUAGGUAUUAUUAAGAAAAACACUGCUCCAGUGAGUCUCCACUUCUGUUUUUUUUCUUUUUUUUUUUUUCUAUUGUAUUGUAUUUUUCUAUUGUGUUGUAUUUUUCUAUUGUAUCUAGUGUAUUGACGAAUACAUUCCCAUAA